rnacentral:rRNA from 1 species
GACGGAGGGGGCAAGCGUUGUCCGGACUCACUGGGCGUAAAGGGCGCGUAGGCGGCGCCACAAGUCACUUGUGAAAACUCUGGGCUCAACUCAGAGCCUGCAAGCGAAACUGUGGUGCUGGAGUAUGGGAGAGGUGCGUGGAAUUCCCGGUGUAGCGGUGAAAUGCGUAGAUAUCGGAAGGAACGCCGGUGGCGAAAGCGGCGUGCUGGACCUCUUCUGACGCUGAGGCGCGAAAGCCAGGGGAGCAAACGGG